CUAGACGACGACCGGCGCACGGGUGAGUAACGCGUAUGUAAUCUGCCUUGUACAGAGGGAUAGCCCAGAGAAAUUUGGAUUAAUACCUCAUAGUAUUACUGGAUCGCAUGAUUUGGUAAUUAAAGCUCCGGCGGUACAAGAUGAACAUGCGUGACAUUAGCUAGUUGGUAAGGUAACGGCUUACCAAGGCUACGAUGUCUACGGGUUCUGAGAGGAUGAUCCCCCACACUGGUACUGACACACGGACCAGACUCCUACGGGAGGCAGCAGUGAGGAAUAUUGGUCAAUGGACGCAAGUCUGAACCAGCCAUCCCGCGUGAAGGAUGACUGCCCUAUG
rnacentral:rRNA from 1 species